GACGAACGCGGCGGCGUGCCUAAUACAUGCAAGUGGGACGCAAGGGAACACACUGUGCUUGCACACCGUGUUUUCUUGAGUCGCGAACGGGUGAGUAACGCGUAGGUAACCUGCCUAUUAGCGGGGGAUAACUAUUGGAAACGAUAGCUAAUACCGCAUAAUAUUAAUUAUUGCAUGAUAAUUGAUUGAAAGAUGCAAGCGCAUCACUAGUAGAUGGACCUGCGUUGUAUUAGCUAGUUGGUAAGGUAAGAGCUUACCAAGGCGACGAUACAUAGCCGACCUGAGAGGGUGAUCGGCCACACUGGGACUGAGACACGGUCCAAACUCCUACGGGAGGCAGCAGUAGGGAAUCUUCGGCAAUGGACGAAAGUCUGACCGAGCAACGCCGCGUGAGUGAAGAAGGUUUUCGGAUCGUAAAGCUCUGUUGUAAGUCAAGAACGUGUGUGAGAGUGGAAAGUUCACACAGUGACGGAGCUACCAGAAAGGCGC
rnacentral:rRNA from 1 species